rnacentral:rRNA from 1 species
UACGAAGGGGGCUAGCGUUGUUCGGAAUUACUGGGCGUAAAGCGUGCGCAGGCGGCUUCUCAAGUCAGGGGUGAAAGCCCAGAGCUCAACUCUGGAACUGCCUUUGAGACUGAGAGGCUUGAGUACGGGAGAGGUGAGUGGAAUUCCCAGUGUAGAGGUGAAAUUCGUAGAUAUUGGGAAGAACACCGGUGGCGAAGGCGGCGACCUGGUCCGUGACUGACGCUGAGGCGCGAAAGCGUGGGGAGCAAACAGG